GUUGUCUUAGGAAGAGACCUCAAACUGAGAUUGUGUGGGAAUCUUCCAGAAGCAGAUGACUGCAGAAGGAGAUAGCUUCAGCAUAAUACUAUCUAAUCAAGAAGAUAACUGACUGCUUCUGCCCAAGUUUCACAGAAAGAGUCCCUGGGAGCCAUGACUGCUAUCUUUGCUUCUAUGAAUUUGACUAUUUUGAAUAUCUCAUGUAAGGGAAAUCAGUGUCAUCAGUUUCAAAGUCCAUGCCAAAUUUUUGGUGGAGUGCACUCUGCAUUUAUGAAAAGACCACAAAACCGUAAUAAUGGAAUGUUACCUAAUCCAGCCCUAAAGACCCAACCUAUUACCUUCUACAAAUGGAUGUGUUCAAGCUGCCAGUUUGAGGCUUAAGGCCCUUGCAAAGUAUCUGGAAAAUAAGUAUUGCUUCAUUAAUGCUUGCUGAAUUGAAUUAUAUACAAGUGAAUAAGAUCGGGCAGAUUACAGAUCGCAAAUUUCUCUGGAAAGAAAAAAAAAUGUUAAAGUGUGGAUAUCAUUCCGUAUUCAACCCUUUGCGAUCCCACGGACUGCAGCACACCAGGCUUCCAUGUCCUUUACUCUCUCCCAGAGUCUGCUCAAACUCAAGCUGGUCCACCUCAGCCUCUGACACCGCCUUCUUCUCCUGACCUCAAGCUUUCCCAGCAUCAGGAACUUUCCCAAUGAGUCGACUCUUCACAUCAGGUGGCCAAAGUAUUGGAGCUUCAGCUUCAGCAUCAGUCCUUCCAAUGAAUAUUCAGGAUUGAUUUCCUUUAGGAAUGACUGGUUUGAUCUCCUUGCAGGCCAAAGGACUUUCAAGAAUCUUCUCCAGCACCACAGUUUGAAAGCAUCAGUUCUUUGGCGCUCAGCCUUUUUUAUAGUCCAGCUCUCAUAUCUAUGCAUGACUACUGGAAAAACCAUAACUUUGACUAUAUGAACCUGUGUUGUCAAAGUCAUGUCUCUGCUUUUUAAUAUGCUGUCUAGCUUGGUCAUAGCUUUUCUUCCAGGAGCAAGUGCCAUUUAUUUUAUGGCUGCAGUCACUGUCCACAGUGACUUUGGAGCCCAAGAAAAUAAAAUUUGCCACUGUUUCCACUCCCCCCUCCCCCAUCUUUUUUGGAAUCACUAAAACCAGUAUCUCUUCUUAAUGACUUUAAUUCAUUCCUGAAGAUUCUACCCUUAAGUGCAAGAACAUUAAAUGAAAAUAAUUUUUUCCUUAAUUUCAAUGGGAAAAAAUGAUACAUUCUAAUUUAACUCAAAAUAUCCAAUUUUUACAGAUAGCAUAUGUCAAGUAAUUUGAAGCUAAAUAAAUAGUUUGUAAAUAAAAUAAAAAGUAGUAAAGUUU